rnacentral:rRNA from 1 species
GACGAACGCUGGCGGCGCGCUUAACACAUGCAAGUCGAACGGAAAGGCCUGCUUUCCCUUGUGGAUUGCGGGUACUCGAGUGGCGAACGGGUGAGUAACACGUGAGUGAUCUGCCCCCAACUUGGGUAUAAGCCUGGGAAACUGGGUCUAAUUCCCGAUAGGACUGCAGGGUGGUGCCUGUGGUGGAAAACGAUUUUCUAGUGGUUGGGGAUGAGCUCGCGGCCUAUCAGCUUGUUGGUGGGGUAAUGGCCUACCAAGGCGGCGACGGGUAGCCGGCCUGGGAGGGGGGACGGCCACAGUGGGACUGGGAAACGGCCCAGACUCCUACGGGAGGCAGCAGUGGGGAAUAUUGCACAAUGGGCGGAAGCCUGAUGCAGCGACGCCGCGUGGGGGAUGACGGCCUUCGGGUUGUAAACUCCUUUCGACCGCGAGGAAGCCACCUGGUUGGAAGGGUGGUGACGGUAGUGGUAGAAGAAGCACCGGCUAACUACGUG